AACGUAGGACGCAAGCGUUAUCCGGAGUUACUGGGCGUAAAGCGCGGGCAGGCGGUCGGGCAAGUGGGGUGUGAAAUCUCCCAGCUUAACUGGGAGAGGCCCAUUCCAAACUGCCUGACUGGAGGGCAGUAGAGGUAGGCGGAAUUCCGGGUGGAGUGGUGAAAUGCGUAGAGAUCCGGAGGAACACCAGAGGCGAAGGCGGCCUACUGGGCUGCGAC
rnacentral:rRNA from 1 species